rnacentral:misc_RNA from 1 species
GUUAAGCAUAAUAGCGAAUGCGCCGCUCAGGCUACAGGUUGAGGUUGGUGGCGAGCACCGGACAAACCUGCAUCCGCGCGCGAGCGAGCGUGACGCCGCAGCUCCGUUGCCAGCGAGCCGCGAUGGCAACUGGUAGGCGGAGCAGCGGAGAGCGGCCAAGUCAGCGUAGGGCGAAGACUACCCGACUUGGCUACCGGCCGCGCCGUCGGCGUACAGCAGUUGAGCAGGGAGCGGUGACCGCACGCGCUCGUAGCAGCAAGUGUUCGUCGUCGUUGCACGGCAGCAGCAGCGGCAGCAGUCGACGACGACGACGACGAAACCGUUCGCCUUGCUGCGGCGGCGGCGGCCGCUCCACCGCUCGACCGACGACGGCGGCAAACGUUGCUGACACACUGCUACCGGUCAGGCGAGCUGCCGGUAGCGGCGUCUUUGCCGUUCGUCAACUAGCGGUUCGCCGCGUGGCUCCACCCGUACGUCUCCUCGAUGUU